UACAGGGAGACCUACUUUAUCUAGACCGAACCCAAAUUUACAAGGUCAGAUAGAAGUCAUCCCAAGGUCGGUCGGGGUAAUGGGAUGAGGUAAAACUCACCCAAACUGUAGCGGCUUUCAAACUAUGCGAGGUUUGGUCCAUGGGCUAUUAGCUCAGGUGGUUAGAGCGCACCCCUGAUAAGGGUGAGGUCCCUGGUUCGAGUCCAGGAUGGCCCACCUUAACAAGAUUUUGGAUUUGCAACGUUGGAUUUUGAGAUUGAGCCAUCAUUCAAUCGAGAAACUGAAGUUCAAGCUCUAAAAUCAUCUGGGGGUAUAGCUCAGCUGGUAGAGCACUGCCUUUGCACGGCAGGAGUCAGCGGUUCGAAUCCGCUUACCUCCACUGGAAGCUAACAAGCACUCGUGAGCUUUCAGUCAAAGCCAGCAGCAGGAGAGUCUGAAUUGACCCAGUAAGCUCUAGUGAUUGAGCCAAUACUGACGCUCAGACGACUAAAUACCAAAUAAAAGUAAAACAAAAAAGCCCAGCAUUCAGCACCUUAGCUAGUGAUACACUAGAGAGCCUGCUGGAUGUUCAAUUCAGCCAGAACCUUGAAAACUGCAUAGCAACAACUCAGGUAGAUCCAGUUGCCAGUGAACAGUCAUUCAGCUACCAGUUAUUAGUGGUUUUUUCAACCUUAAGGCCGGAAAGCUGAAGUAAUGAACGACUGAGCAACUGAAUCACAGAACACCAAUGUAAGCAAAGU
rnacentral:tRNA from 1 species